rnacentral:rRNA from 1 species
AGUCGAGCGAGCGGAACCACAGAUUUACUUCGGUAAUGACGUUGGGAAAGCGAGCGGCGGAUGGGUGAGUAACACGUGGGGAACCUGCCCCUAAGUCUGGGAUACCAUUUGGAAACAGGUAGCUAAUACCAGGAUAAUAAAGCAGAUCGCAUGAUCAGCUUUUGAAAGGCGGCGUAAGCUGUCGCUAAGGGAUGGCCCCGCGGUGCAUUAGCUAGUUGGUAAGGUAACGGCUUACCAAGGCGACGAUGCAUAGCCGAGUUGAGAGACUGAUCGGCCACAUUGGGACUGAGACACGGCCCAAACUCCUACGGGAGGCAGCAGUAGGGAAUCUUCCACAAUGGACGCAAGUCUGAUGGAGCAACGCCGCGUGAGUGAAGAAGGUUUUCGGAUCGUAAAGCUCUGUUGUUGGUGAAGAAGGAUAGAGGUAGUAACUGGCCUUUAUUUGACGGUAAUCAACCAGAAAGUCACGGCUAACUACGUGCCAGCAGCCGCGGUAAUACGUA